rnacentral:lncRNA from 1 species
AGAUGAUGAUAUUAAUAGAUGUGAUUUAGGGUGCGUUUGGUUCGCACUAUGAAAGAUUACUAGCAAUAGAAAGAUGUCCAAGAAUUUUAUUUCUAUUCAUUCUAUUACUAAGAAUGUGUCAUUUCUGUGUUCAGUUCGUACAGUCAUAUUAUUUAGUCAUGUUAUUUAAGUUGACAAAAAAUAUACAAUUAAUUUAUUUAUUUCUUUAAUUAAUUUUAGAUAUUGUUACCAAAAAUUUCAACAUCUUUUUAGAAAAAGAGAGAGAAUAUAGGUUAGAGAGAAAGCGCAUAAUUAAAGAAAUAGGAAGAGAAAUAGAAUCGAGAUUAGAGGGAGUGAGAGAGUUGAGAUUUUAGAAAAAGAGGGGAAGAGAGAGCUUAGUUUAGAGAGAGAAAAAGAGUUGAAGUUUAGAAAAAAAAAAUAAGUUUAGAGAGAGAUACGAGGUUAGACUGUAAAGAAAAAUAAUACCAACUAGCUGGCAGAUAGGGAGAAAGAAAGAGAUUAGACAUAUUAUGAUUAUCUCAAUCCAUUAAUACGAGGAUACCCACCCUCACUCAAGAAAAUGAGAUUAGUACUUUGGGAUGAAUCUCAUUCCCAAGUAAAUUUAAUUUACCAACUUGAUUACUUAGUACGUUUAACCAAACAUCGUCAUAUUUUUUUAUUCCUAUUGGAUUACUAGGAAUCUUAAAAAGAUAGCGCGAACCAAACGCACUCUCACAGUUAUAUUUUAAAUUAUGUGAUUU